GCUGAUCUAGGCGGCCUGGGAGGAUGUAGGCGGCUCCUAGGCGGCCUGGGAGGAUCUAGGUGGCCUGGGCGGGUCGUGUCCAUAGUUAUAAUCAACUUAGGCAUCCAUAGUUUUCCAAAGAUUUACAAGCAGCAAAACAGAGAAAAGACGCGAAUCAUGGAGAGUUACCAAUCCUUCAAUCUGAACAACUCUGAGAGGGGAAGAAACCUCUUCUGUAGCUGCCACCUGAAGAAAGGAUCUUGCCACCGCUGUACAAUCAACAAAACAAAACCAAAUUUUCACAAAGAAGAAAAACAAACGCAUUCAAAUUUACAGAUAAAAAUACAGAUAGAGAAUUGUACGAACUGGUUGCCACGUUGUAAUUUCACGGAGAGAGCAAAGAAGAGGAGAGACAGAGCAAUAGUAUAAGAUGGGAAGCUUUGUCUCUCACGGGUGCGGAGGAACCUCUGUGUAUGGUGAAUGUGAAGAUGAUUGCUAAACCCUAGUUGUCGAAGGACUGGAAAAUUGGGCCUUGCUCACCCAUGCCUUUCUGCUUUAUUGAUUUCUUUCUAGUAUUAGAAGCCUAAUGUUACUGUCUAAUAAAGUCACUUAGAAAAUCCUUGCAUCUUCUGCUCUGCAACUACAUGCCUAUAAUUUUUUUUAUUUGUUUAAAUAUUUUGACUGUACAAGUGGAAUAGCACUGUAGGGGUGGACGCUGCUUUAGACUAUGUGAAUGAGUUUGAUAUUGAGGAGGAGGUAAUAGUACGGGCCAAUGAAAUCUUCUUCAACAGAUUCAAAGAAAAUUUUGGUUGAAAUUUUGUACACCUUAUUUUGGAGGCUUGUAGUGUAGAUAUGCAUAAUCCUUAUGGCUUUGGUGAUGUCAAAAGAAGCAUACAAAAUUGUUUAUUCCAAUUCCGGAAUGAAAGGGAAGACACCUUCAACUAGUUUUAGCCUUUUAAUUAAUUAGUUUUUUUCUUACACAGAAUCCAAUAAACUAUUUUAAUCCAAUUCGUGCGUAUUGUUUAUGCAAUUGAGAUUGGCAGGUAACUUGAUUUACCAUGUUUUCCUGUCUCUUUUGCAUUUAUAACCUUUUUAAUUAUUAUGUUUUAAUUUUUUGCUGAAAGAUGAGUAUAUAGGUACUGUUGAUGGCUAUAUAGGUAAUGUGAUCCCAAAUUGUUCUCUUGAGAAAAUACUCAACAGUAAUAGCUUAUUAUGUUAAUGGGAAAGCUGUUUCAAAUAGAUUGUUUGAACCUUUGAUUGUUGCUAAAAUUGUUGAUGGUUCCAAUUAGGCAGAAACACAAUAGUCCAAUCUGACAGGAGUUUUAUGGUUUGAUUGCAUCUCCUGUGUUAUUCUCAUAAAUUUCAAUUUCUAGUGAAUUUCUUCUGAGAUAGUAUUUUGACUGAUUUAUUAAAAGGAAAACUUGGAGAGGGAGUUCAUCAGUCCAAUAGUGGGCUGCAAAAAGGAAAACAGAAGUCAUUGUCAUUUAAGGUAAGGACAGAUAACACUUUUCCUACAAAUUCCUUUAGUUUUGCUUUACUUGUGUUACCCCAUAUGGUCCGUCUGGCUAUGGCAGGAAUUGAUGACCAUGUAUGCCGUUAUUUAUUUGCAGAUAUAUAAUGAAGCUCAAACUGACUGCUAUGCGAGUGACAAUGAAAAGAUUGCGGUAUGGGGUCCUUUCACCCUAACUUUUUCACAGAGUUUUCACUUUACAGAUGACUCUCUGAUACAGUUUCUGUCAAAUUAUUGUAAGUGCAUUACUUACCGAAUACAUGUCCUUCACGUGGAGGGGCAUUUAGGUCCAAUCAUUGACAAAAUAAAAGAAGAGAAACAAACACGAC
rnacentral:lncRNA from 1 species